GGGGGAGUGUCUACAUGGAAACUCUCCAAACAAGAGAGAACUUACAGCCUUUAACGAGCCUCCGCUUUGUGAGUCGGACCCAACAGGCUUUUUAAGAUGAGGCCACUGAAAAAAAAGAAAAAAAGUUUAUGGGCCUGAAUGAGGAGGGUAAAAUUCCACAAAACAGUUUGUUUCAGAAUUUUCUAAUAAAUCUAUCGGAAGGAACUGCAGGUUAGUGAGGAGAAAAGGUGAAAUUUACCAAAAAACCUCACAAAUAUAUGAAAAAAGUAGGAGUCGUCGAGCAGUCAGCGCAGACCAGAGAGCGCCGCAGGUACAUGAAACCUGAGGCCAGAGCCUGCACGGAUAUCAGCCACCCAAUCAGGAAGAGUUUGAAUUUCUAUUUGUAUUCUCAGUUGUUAUCAGCAGCAUAUGUUUGUGUUCCUUUUUUCUCUUUAGACCAAACACACGGAGACGAGGAGCAGCAGGUGUGCUCCAUCCUGGACCAGGAGCAACCGGAGCCUCCUCAGGUUAAAGAUCACAGAGAGGAACCAGAGCAACCCGAGAUGAAACUAUGGGACUUUCAAACAUGCUGUGGUGCAACCCUUGUUCAAGAAACCUGACCUUUGACCCUUCCGCUUUGACUAACUACAGGCAGAUCACCAAGUGUCCUUUUUUGUCCAAUAAUUUGGAACAAGUCGUUUACACCCAGCUGAGGGGCGUCCUGAUAAAUCUAACAUUUUGGAAGUGUUCCAGUCUGGGUUUAAAACAAACCACAGCACUGAAUCUGCUCUUUCACAGCUUUUUAAAGGCAUAUUUUUAGCCGUGGAUUCAGGGAACAGUGUUUUUAGAUCUAACAGCUGCUUUCAACAGUGGACCAUAACGUUCUCAUCUCCACAGUCUCGAGACUCUGAUCCAUGCAUUUGUUACCUCUCACCUGGAUUAUUGUAAUUCUCUUUUGAGUGAAAUUAGCCCGGCCUUCCUCUCACCUCUACAGCUGGUACAAACCCCGGUGUCAGUGUCCCUUCACCGGCUUCCCGUUCAGCUGCGCUUGAGAAAUAAAGUGAAAGUGAAAGUAUGGAAGUCAGCAAUGCUCAGGCGCAACAAGAGGAAGAACAAAGGAAGUCUGCACCGUUCGGGGGGAGCGCAGCUCGUAGCGAAGCAGCAGACUGAUACCUUCAUGGUGACUCAUCCAAAGUGAAAAAUAGCAACCAGCGUCUUUCUCACAACUCGCGUGUAGCUGAAAACUGCAAUAAUAAAGGAAGUGAGCACUCAGGAACAACUAAAAAUGUAGAGUCAGAGUCUCAAAAGAGACAAAACAGAAGUGAGAAUGUAGUAAGAAGCUGGUGUAGUGCUGCCACAAGCUGGAAAAUCCUUCAAGGAUCAGAGCGAACUGAGGAAACACACAGAGCAGAGGUCCACACUGUAUUCCUGCGGCAAAGCUCCAAAAGCAGUGAAACCUUGUUGAACCGCAUGAAAACACACAUCCUUCAAAUUAUAUAACUUAAAGUUCACACAGGUGAGAAUAAACCUGUAAAACUUGUGGGAAAACUCUCGGCUGCAGGUCAUCAUUAAAAAACACACAUGGCUAUUUAAACAGGAUGUGGCAUGAAUGAUGGACCCGACCAUAGAUCGCACUUUAUUUAUUCCGGUUGUUCUCGCCUUCAUACACGGCCUCAGCUGUGUCUUACACACAACAACAACCCCAACCUCAGGUCUCAGCACGUUUAAUGCAGGGGCGGCGUGAUGAGCAGAUGGAGCGUGUCAGCUUGCCCCUGCAGCCGCGCCACACCGUACCUUUGUAAAACCUGUGGGAAAAGUCUCGGCUCCAGGUCAUCGUUAAAAACACACAUGGCUAAUCAAACAGGUGAGAAACUGUAUGGUUGCAACGUGUGUGGGAAAAGACUCUGUAAUAAGUCGAUUCUGCGUAAGCACUAAAAGAAUCACUCGGGUCUGCGAUCGUUUCCUUGCAAAGGCCUCAGAGAUCGUUGAAACUGGUGAGCCACAUGAGCAGGAGAGAGGCCGUUUCCCCGGGAGGCGUGGGAAAACUUUCACGGACAAGUUCAGCAUGAACGCGCAUGAGACGAGUCACUGUGGCGAGAGCCAGCACGUCUGUCAGAAACGCUUCGCUCACAGCGGCUCUUUGAACGCCCACGUGAGAAGCAGCGUUUCUUCAGCAGCUUUGAGUAGACGAAAUUUUUACCAAAUUUUCUGCAGAAUUUUGUUCGUUUUUUCCGAACAAAUGUGUAGAUUUUUUCCAUUAACUUUGCCAGUUUUCCUCCUGAAUGUAAGAUGUGUAAAUAUUUUUUAAAUGUCAGAAUUUUGCCCCUUCACGUCAGCUCGACUUUUUUUUUUUUUUGUUUACACUAAAAACUGCUGAAUAAGUGAUUUUCGAUUGGCUGCUGGUUAUCAGUUAUGAUACACACUCGCCCCCAAAGAAGUAGAGUCAGCACAUCUUCUUGAAUAAUCAGUUUAUUAAUGAAUUUAAGGCCACUCUGGACUGUGCAGAAUUCAUAAGGGGCGCAGAAAUAACUCAGUCACAUCAUCCUCGGUAACUUCACUCUGCGGCUACUGAUUUCUAUUUUUACAUCAGAACGGAGUCGAACUAAAGCAAACGUUUAAGCAGCUUAAAGAAUCAAACACAUUCACAGGUAGAGGCGGCUUGAUACGCUGAAGUCAAUGCUCGAAAUACAAGUUUCCAGUUCACAACACAGCAUGCUUCAUAUGUUUGAAGUGAGCACUGAUAUGUAUUAAGUUCAGCACUAAGUUGUUCUUGGCCAUGCAUGCUAACUCCCAGUACAGAUACAUAGAUGAUAUUAUAUGAGUGUGUAAGGCCAAAGGUUGAAUAUGAUUUCAUAGUAAAGUAAUAGUCUUUAAACAACACAGAACACAACAAAACGAAGGUCUUUACGAGCCAAAAAACAAAAA